GUAUGCUAAGGUAUAUAAUUGUUGGCGA
rnacentral:sRNA from 1 species